GCAAAGCUGCCAGUUGCAUGUGACGAGUGACGACACGUCUGGACAAAUUGAUCUUUUGAAAUCCGGGGUUCGGCUCGUGGUUUCUGAGCAAGCCCAUUUUUUGAGAAAUGAAACGCCUCUUUUGAGAAAAGAAACCGGCUUUUGAGAAAGGAAACUCCUCUUUUGAGAAAAGAAUCAGGCGUUUGAGAAAGGAGCCCCGACUCUUCGAUUUGCGAGAGGACGCUUCUCUGAGGAGCGCCUCUCCGAUUUCUUCUUUUUAUAGAGGCGCUAAUUGUG
rnacentral:lncRNA from 1 species